GGAUGUGAGGGCUAUCUGGCUGCUACAUCUGUCACCCUAUUGAUCAUCAGGUUGAUUUGGCUGAUUUGACUGGCUAGGUGGGUAUCCUCUUCCUGCCUAACUACUUCAAGUACCUCCCUCUCAAAGCUGUAAGCUCAGUGAAGGGAGCGAACUUCCCCGAUAGAGGAUGACUAUGUUUUGGUCAAGAAAUACAAGUUGCUCCACUCCGCUGUCAGAACCUCCAAACAAGCUCUCAAGACAAGAGUUCAGUACUUUAAGAGCUGAUUAGUUCAUGACACCCUCCCCCUGCCAUGAAUGGGAUUAAGG
ensembl:misc_RNA 7SK 7SK RNA